GCCCAACGACUUCCCCUAAUUUUAAUUAAAAGUGUCUGAACUCUUUCAGAAUAACAUCGUACCCCUUCUACUUCAUCUUCUCUACAUCCGAACGCUAGUAGCCUCCAAACUCUCUAGCCUCCACCAGCCGGUGGUGGAGUCCAAUUAGCCUCAAACUUUGACCACAGAACCAUCACCGGUACCUGGCACCCAAUCUAACAUCAUAUUUCCCCAAAAUUUCACUAAAUCUAACCAAUUUUGGAUCUAAAAGAAAAGUAGAAGAAGAAGAAUAACUUCCAAAACUCCGAGUUUGCCUUGAACGAUUGGGGUUAAAAAUGGUGUUACUCAUCGGUUCUAAAGGAGGACACACGAUUAGUGCCAAUUUUGGCUCAAAAUCGAAGGCGUUGGAGAUCUUUCCAAGUCCAAUGUCCAUCCAUUUUUUCUAGGUAUUGUUCCGCCAUUUUUCUUUCUUUCCUCUUUUGUUUUAUUCCCAUUAUCAUCUUCUUCUGAUUCAUUCUUGUUUUUUCUGUUUUUCAAAUCGUUUAUGUAUGCUUGCUAAUUUUAAGUUAUUUUCAGUCAGUAUUUAGUUUAGUUAGUUGUUUGAUUUUGUUGUUUUAUUGUGCUCCAAUUUCCUCCUAUUUUGUUUUCUUUGGGUUCAUGGCUUCAGGAGUUCUCUAUUACUCUGUUGGCCCAGUUUUUUGAUUGGUUUUCUGAUUUGUCUUAGAAUUAAACAUUGGGCUUCAUAGGUUAAAAGCCCGAAGAUGGGAGAGUUAGUCCGGGGUUUUGAAAGCCCAGGGUCUGUGGUUGAUUGUUGGGCCAACUUGACCCAUGUUUAGUCUGAUAGUAAAUAGCAUGUGAUUAAAGGGUAUUUGAGGUAUUUUAAUUGAGAGAAUCUUUUAAAAAAUUGAAUAGGAAACUUCCAGGAAAGAAGGAUUUGGGUUUGUUCAAUAAUUGGUUUAGAAAUUCAGGGCUUAAAAUGAAAGAAUAAAAAUUAGGGAAUGGGUAAUUGCUAAAACCUGAAAGCAUUUCUGUUUCCCUAAAAACCCUCUAUAUAAGGUUGGUUAUCAGUAAAAAUGAAGGGACUUUAGAGAUCAGACCCUAAAAAUUUAGAAACGGCCGAGCCAUUCAUACUCUGAAAAGUACUAAAAAUUCCUGCAAUCUUUUUAGUCGACAUUGGACUUGGUUUUGCUCUCUAAUCUUGAUUGUUUAAUUAGAAUUCAAUAUUUUUAAAAAUUUCUGUUCAUCUGGGUUUGAAAAUGGUCUAAAUUGUAAUGAAAAUUGGUGUUGAUGUUGCUAAUUUACUGCUGUGCUAAACUCUUCAUUUUCCUUAUUCUCUUUUCACCUUCAGGCAUCCCUAUUAACUUUUGAAUGGCAAAUGGAAGCUGUAAAGAAUGUGUUCUUCUUAUUCUAUAAUUUGGAUGUUCAAUAUGUAAAAUAUAUUAUCUCACAUGUAUGCUAUAUAUAUUUUAUUUAGCUUAGUCGUUUGGUUUUGUUGUGUAAAUAUGAUGGAUUUGGAUAUUCAGCAUUGAUUUAGUGUCCAUGUGAGAGAUUAUGUUUAGCUUAGUAAAUUUUAUAUAUUGUCUUGGACAUUUCAAGCAACCAUAAUAGUUCAUGUAGUUAUUCUUGGGAUAUGAUAGGCUCUGAAGGUAAAUUUUUAGUUUACAUCUAGAUGGUAGUAAUAUCAAUAGUCCUUGGUCAUUUUUUGGUUGUUUUGGCUCUAAAAAUCGAAGUUGGUCAAAGUUUUCCUUCUUAAACAACAUGCUUUUGCUUGACCCUAAGUUGUUAUGAUUGAUUAGUAUAACUAAUAUCAAGGCUUUGAGUGUCAUGUUAAUAAUAAUACAGGCGAUUUAGCAUAUUGAUUUCCAGCUUUAGUAUCAUGUUCUUUGUAUUUAAAAUAACCUGAAUAUCAAGAAAUGCUUUGGCAGGCCUAAGAUUCUUAGCUUGAAUGCGGGCUUAAUUUUGGCCGUGUGAAUUGACGUAUUUGUCACGAGGCCUGGAGCGACCAAAUCUCGUCUUCUUUUGCUCUGGGCUCAAUUGUGAGCCCGACAGCCUUCGACAUCAGCUUGUUUCCUUGAGUGUUGGCUGAUCCAAUAAGAAUUAGGAUUUUAAUAUGGAAUUUGAUUCAAAGUUAAACCAAUUUCAUGUGUCAGAUUUUGUUAAGCAUGCUAUCAAUCUGUAAAACACGAGUUUUAAUGUUUUGUUUUUUGGGAAUUUUCGUAGCUGAGCUCGAUGUUAGCCCAGUCAAAAUGGCUAAGUCGUUUGGGCUGUCCUUUUCACCUGCUCUUUCUCUUGGGCCUAGUUUCAGCCCAGGUUCCCAAUAUAGAUUUUUAAUUUCUUGAUAACCUUGUAAUAAUUUAUUUCUUACAAAUUUUAAUAUCCCUUAGGCUUAAUUAAGUUCCAUUGUUUUAAUAGAUUGAGGUGUGCAUUUU
rnacentral:lncRNA from 1 species